rnacentral:rRNA from 1 species
ACAUGCUUACAACAUAGUUUUAAUGCAUUGGAUCUCAUUAGAACUCUGAAGUUAAGCAUGUUAGGGCUUGAGUAGUAUUGGUAUGCGUGACUUCUCAGGAAGUCCUAGUAUUUUACAUGCA